rnacentral:rRNA from 1 species
GACGAACGCUGGCGGCGUGCCUAAUACAUGCAAGUUGAGCGAUGAAGCUUGGUGCUUGCACCAAUUUGAAGAGCAGCGAACGGGUGAGUAACGCGUGGGGAAUCUGCCUUUGAGCGGGGGACAACAUUUGGAAACGAAUGCUAAUACCGCAUAACAACUUUAAGCAUAAGUUUUAAGUUUGAAAGAUGCAAUUGCAUCACUCAAAGAUGAUCCCGCGUUGUAUUAGCUAGUUGGUGAGGUAAAGGCUCACCAAGGCGAUGAUACAUAGCCGACCUGAGAGGGUGAUCGGCCACAUUGGGACUGAGACACGGCCCAAACUCCUACGGGAGGCAGCAGUAGGGAAUCUUCGGCAAUGGACGAAAGUCUGACCGAGCAACGCCGCGUGAGUGAAGAAGGUUGUCGGAUCGUAAAACUCUGUUGGUAGAGAAGAACGUUGGUGAGAGUGGAAAGCUCAUCAAGUGACGGUAACUACCCAGAAAGGGACGGCUAACUACGUG